rnacentral:rRNA from 1 species
AUACAGAGGGUGCGAGCGUUAAUCGGAAUUACUGGGCGUAAAGCGCGCGUAGGUGGUUAUGUAAGUCGGAUGUGAAAGCCCCGGGCUCAACCUGGGAAUUGCAUUCGAAACUGCAUGACUAGAGUCUGAUAGAGGGAAGUGGAAUUUCCGGUGUAGCGGUGAAAUGCGUAGAUAUCGGAAGGAACAUCAGUGGCGAAGGCGGCUUCCUGGAUUAAGACUGACACUAAGGUGCGAAAGCGUGGGGAGCAAACAGGAUUAGAUACCCCAGUAGUCC